GGUCCCGCCUGCCCUGUGACUUAAGUUUAACGGCCGCGGUAUUUUAACCGUGCGAAGGUAGCGUAAUCACUUGUCUUUUAAAUGAAGACCUGUAUGAAUGGCAUCACGAGGGCUUAGCUGUCUCCCAUCUCCAGUCAAUGAAAUUGACCUCCCCGUGCAGAGGCGGGGAUAAUUACAUAAGACGAGAAGACCCUAUGGAGCUUUAGACCUAAAGUAAGUCACGUUUAACAUGCUAAAAUAACAGAAAAAACUUAGUGAUAUUUACUGAAGUGUCUUUGGUUGGGGCGACCGCGGGGUAAAACACAACCCCCAUGUGGACCGGGGAUAUUAUCCCUAAUACUCAGAGCCUCUACUCCAAGUAACAGAAAUUCUGACUUUUCUGAUCCGGUAUAACCGAUCAACGAACCGAGUUACCCUAGGGAUAACAGCGCAAUCCCCUCUCAGAGCCCAUAUCGACGAGGGGGUUUACGACCUCGAUGUUGGAUCAGGACAUCCUAAUGGUGCAGCCGCUAUUAAGGGUUCGUUUGUUCAACGAUUAAAGUCCUACGUGAUC
rnacentral:rRNA from 1 species